rnacentral:misc_RNA from 1 species
CGAAAAAGCAAUUUUGACCUCCUAAAAACAAUGCCAAACAGUCACUAUAUAUGCUUUGUAGCUCAUCUUUGUGAAGUGAGAUAAACAAGCAACCUUUAAUUGCUUUUAUAAAAUUGAUGACAUCCAAGAAAAACUAGAAGAAAGAAGUUCAUAAAUAAAGAAAAUCUUGAUGAAUCUUUGAUGCUCAUAAAAGCACAUGCAAAUGACACAGGCAUAGAGUACAUGAUGUUCAAAUGCCAUUGCAUAUGAUCAAAGAAUACAGAGCUAUAACACCUCCAAAAUCAAAUCUUUUAUCACCUGUUCAAUUUUGCUGAACUAAUCCAGGACUUUUAUUAGCAUCAGAAAAUGAUUUUUCAACAACAAGAAUGAAACAGAUUCACAUAACACAUACCCACUUUUUCUCACAAUCAUUGUCAAACAAAAAUUAAUUCAUUCGAUGUACAGUCAAGUACAUCAAUUGCUGCCUGCAAUACCACCAAGUAUUGCAUUCUGUGUUCUAAACAGAUUAAAUCUUGUCUAACAGAUCCUACUUUAUCAAGAUCUUGUUUUUCACUUUCUUUUAUCGUCACAUAAUUUGAAUUAGAUGAAGAUUUGCAUGUAAUUGCAAGACUGAAGUAGAUUCAAUUAAGUGAAAUAGAAUAUAAGAAAGUAAAAUCUAACUCAGGAAAUACUUUUGUGGUUCAAAUGAUGGUAUUUAUACCAAAAACUCCCAAAUCUGUUCCAAAAAAGAAAUUCACAGCUUAGACUAAUCAUGUACAGUUCUUCUGGGUUUUCCAUGACAACAGUAAUUCUUCUUCUUUUUCAUCUCAAGUCAACCCAUUUGAUUCUGACUUGCAUUCAGUUUUUUCUUGUAAAGCAAGAUAAUAUACAUUCCAAAACUAGAAAUGGAGAAACAAUCCAGGAAAUGUUGCACACCCAUGACCAAAUGCUUGUUGGUGAAUAGUGACAUCUGGCCUCAAACUGUCCUCUGAUACACUUGCUUUGAAGCACUUCACUUCCUCUGUAGCCAUUGGAGGGGAGGCUUUGAGUGAGCAGCUCCAAAAGAAUUAUCUUUUGUGGCACUCCCAAGAGAUAUCCUUAGAACCCUCCUUAACUCAUCUAACCUAGCAUAUUUUUAUCCCCCAUUGUAAUAGGAUCCAACAACAAAUAGUAAGCUAGAACAUAUCUGAUAAAGCACAACCCCAUUGAGUACUAGGUCCAUAACCAAGCAUCCGGUUCUUGCUGCCCUCCUGGAAGUUUCCAGGCCUAUCCAAAGGGGCAAUAGGAUAAUUCCCCUGCUGCCGAUUUGGAUAGCUCCCUGUAAAACCUAAUUUGUCCAGAUUAUCUGAACCGAAUUCACAUCUCACAUUUCCAGCCAUCUACUCAAACCAAAGUGAAUGUACUCAUAUCUACUAUGAAUUUUUAUUUCCCCAACUUCUUAUUUUAGCAACUCCAGCAACCAUCUCUAAAGCAGCAUAAAAUAAUGAGAUCCACACAAGAUGUCAACAAAUUCAUAAACCACCAAUAUUUCACUGUAACAGUAACUGGAGGAUCUUGUACCAGUCCGUGAUGUCAGAGUCGGUCUUGGAGGCGACACUGAGGAUUUUGAUCGCUGUAAGCAAUGAUGAGAGACCUUCUAUCUUUGGAGAAAGACGGUGGGCUUUCUUGGCGUGUUUAAGAGCAGAUUUGAUAUUGGAGUUGGUGUACUUCGUCUCUGCUAUAGUUUUGAGAACAAGGGCUUCUUCCUUUUGGUCUGGCUUCAUAUCCAUUGCUCCUAACAGAAGGAAGAAGGAAAUGCAGAUCAAGGAGAGAGAGACUCGAUAGUCCUUAUUACUUAAUUUGCUUGCCUGGUUUUGUU